rnacentral:rRNA from 1 species
UACGGAAGGUGCAAGCGUUGUUCGGAUUGACUGGGCGUAAAGAGCACGUAGGCGGGCUUGUAAGUCGAUUGUGAAAGCCCCGGGCUUAACCUGGGAACUGCAGUCGAAACUGUGAGUCUUGAAUGUUUGAGAGGUUGGUGGAAUUCCAGGUGUAGAAGUGAAAUUCGUAGAUAUCUGGAGGAAUACCGGAGGCGAAGGCAGCCAACUGGUGAAACAUUGACGCUGAGGUGCGAAAGCGUGGGGAGCAAACAGG